ACUCCUGCGGGAGGCAGCAGUGGGGAAUUUUGGACAAUGGGCGAAAGCCUGAUCCAGCAAUGCCGCGUGUGUGAAGAAGGCUUUCGGGUUGUAAAGCACUUUUGUCCGGAAAGAAAUCCUUGGCUCUAAUACAGUCGGGGGAUGACGGUACCGGAAGAAUAAGCACCGGCUAACUACGUGCCAGCAGCCGCGGUAAUACGUAGGGUGCGAGCGUUAAUCGGAAUUACUGGGCGUAAAGCGUGCGCAGGCGGUUUGCUAAGACCGAUGUGAAAUCCCCGGGCUCAACCUGGGAACUGCAUUGGUGACUGGCAGGCUAGAGUAUGGCAGAGGGGGGUAGAAUUCCACGUGUAGCAGUGAAAUGCGUAGAGAUGUGGAGGAAUACCGAUGGCGAAGGCAGCCCCCUGGGCCAAUACUGACGCUCAUGCACGAAAGCGUGGGGAGCAAACAGGAUUAGAUACCCCUGUAGUCCCA
rnacentral:rRNA from 1 species